CCUACGGGGUGCUGCAGUGGGGAAUAUUGGACAAUGGGCGAAAGCCUGAUCCAGCCAUGCCGCGUGUGUGAAGAAGGCCUUCGGGUUGUAAAGCACUUUCAGUGGGGAAGAAAGCCUUGGGGCUAAUACCCUCGAGGAAGGACAUCACCCACAGAAGAAGCACCGGCUAACUCCGUGCCAGCAGCCGCGGUAAUACGGAGGGUGCGAGCGUUAAUCGGAAUUACUGGGCGUAAAGCGCGCGUAGGCGGUCUGAUAAGCCGGUUGUGAAAGCCCCGGGCUCAUCCUGGGAACGGCAUCCGGAACUGUCAGGCUAGAGUGCAGGAGAGGAAGGUAGAAUUCCCGGUGUAGCGGUGAAAUGCGUAGAGAUCGGGAGGAAUACCAGUGGCGAAGGCGGCCUUCUGGACUGACACUGACGCUGAGGUGCGAAAGCGUGGGUAGCAAACAGGAUUAGAUACCCCUGUAGUC
rnacentral:rRNA from 1 species